GAUGAACGCUGGCGGCGUGCCUAAUACAUGCAAGUCGAGCGAACGGACGAGAAGCUUGCUUCUCUGAUGUUAGCGGCGGACGGGUGAGUAACACGUGGAUAACCUACCUAUAAGACUGGGAUAACUUCGGGAAACCGGAGCUAAUACCGGAUAAUAUUUUGAACCGCAUGGUUCAAAAGUAAAAGACGGUCUUGCUGUCACUUAUAGAUGGAUCCGCGCUGCAUUAGCUAGUUGGUAAGGUAACGGCUUACCAAGGCAACGAUGCAUAGCCGACCUGAGAGGGUGAUCGGCCACACUGGAACUGAGACACGGUCCAGACUCCUACGGGAGGCAGCAGUAGGGAAUCUCACGAAGUGCGCCCAAGCCUGACGGCGCAACGGCGCGUGAGUGAUAAAGGUCUUCGGAUCGUAAACCUCUGUUAUUAGGGAAGAACAAAUGUAAAAGUAACUGUGCACGUCUUGACGGUACCUAAUCAGAAAGCCACGGCUACCUACGCG
rnacentral:rRNA from 1 species